rnacentral:tRNA from 1 species
AAAAAGGUAAGCUAAUAUAAGCUACUGGGUUCAUACCCCAUUUAUGGAUAAUAAAAACAUCCCCUUUUUA